GCAAGUCGAACGCGAAAGCUCCUUCGGGAGUGAUUAGAGUGGCGGACGGGUGCGUAACGCGUAGGAAUCUACCUUGUGGCGGGGGACAACUCGGGGAAACUCGAGCUAAUACCGCAUAAUCUCUACGGAGUAAAGGGGCCAUCCUCGGAUGGUCUCACCACAAGAUGAGCCUGUGUUGGAUUAGCUUGUUGGUGAGGUAAAGGCUCACCAAGGCUACGAUCCAUAGCUGGUCUAAGAGGACGAUC
rnacentral:rRNA from 1 species